rnacentral:snoRNA from 1 species
ACGACCUUACUUGAACAGGAUCUGUUCUAUAGGCUCGUACCACUGUAUCCUUGAGUUCUAAGGAGACAGAGAGCCAAAUCUGGUGGAUGAAUCAUGGCCAUUAGAUUAUAGCGUGAUUAACAGUACCCGUAGCCUUCUGGUUCAUGGAACCGUAGAUGAUCUCCAACAAUGGUGCUUGAGAUGGUCUAAUGGCUAUCUGACAGACU